rnacentral:rRNA from 1 species
UACGAAGGGGGCUAGCGUUGCUCGGAAUCACUGGGCGUAAAGGGUGCGUAGGCGGGUCGUUAAGUCCGGGGUGAAAUCCUGGAGCUCAACUCCAGAACUGCCUUUGAUACUGAGGAUCUUGAGUUCGGGAGAGGUGAGUGGAACUGCGAGUGUAGAGGUGAAAUUCGUAGAUAUUCGCAAGAACACCAGUGGCGAAGGCGGCUCACUGGCCCGGUACUGACGCUCAGGCACGAAAGCGUGGGGAGCAAACAGG